rnacentral:misc_RNA from 1 species
GGAAGUAAAGUCGUAACAAGGUUUCCGUAGGUGAACCUGGGGAAGGAUCAUUAUUGUAUAACCGAGGUGCGAGGGCUGUCGCUGACCCGAAAGGUCGUGCACGCCCGAGUGCCCUCACACACAUCCAUCUCACCCCUAUGUGCACCACCGCGUGGGUCCCCCUUUGGCUUGUUCGGAGGGGGGCUUACGUUUUCACACAAACUUUGUAUGCAGUGUAGAAUGUAUUUUUUGUUUUUGCGAUCACGCAAUCAAUACAACUUUCAACAACGGAUCUCUUGGCUCUC